AGGAGGAGAAGGGAGAGGAGAGCUGCUAGUUAACACCAACUACUCAUGGGAACAGUGCCAGGUGCUGGGGAUACAUGCUCUCGUGGAUCUAAAGAAUAAGAUACAAGCCCCUAAUCUGCUCCUGGUGACUUUGAAAGCAGCAUGGCUCUCAGUACGGAUCCACUGCGUUAGUGAAGUCUGUGAGCCCGAGCUCGAGCCCGAAAUAAAGCGC